rnacentral:lncRNA from 1 species
UAGCUGGCGUACUUACAUUGUAUCGUCAAUCGUACAGUAGAUUCCUUAACAAUGAUGUGAUUAAGAGUGAAGAAAGAUUUUAUUGACGGAUUGAUAUUCUUAACAAAAUGACGACUAUUCAGCAUUGGUAAGUCAGUUUUUAUUAUAUACUCAUCUAUACAACUAAUUAUAAUUUUUCUAUAUAAUUCAUUAUAUUCUUGCACUUGCUGCUUUUUACAUUCUGUCGACUUUGUGACUUUCUCUUUCUUUUAAAUAUCUUAUCAUUCCAGACGAUACUUUAAAUGUCAAAAAUAUGUGCUGUUACAUUUAAUAUUUUAUUUGUAUUCAAUAAUGUCCUUAAGCAAAUAAUGUUUGCGUUGGUUCAUUUUUUUUCUUUGCAAUUUAUUUAACAAUAAGCCAAUGCAAACAAAUGAUAUAAUAUGGAAAAAAAAUGUUAAAAAGUAACUGCGUGAUUAAAAUUAUCUUUAAAGAACAGGAAUAAAAGGCUUGUUUAAUGGGGAAAAUUUACCCCAUUAAAUCACAAUAAUUGGUGUUUAUGUCCGUUUUCUUUUUCAAUUUCUUCUAUGGAUUUUAGAUUUUCAAAAUGCAGUAUAAUUGUAUAUGAUGUAAACGACCAUAUCUGUUAUUCUCUUGUUGAGAGUUGUCUGAUUGGCAAUCAUAUCACAUCUUCUAUUUUAUAUAAUUCAUACAAUUGAACAUGACCCAACGUUCUUUGUAUAUUAUUGUGUUAGAAAUUAAACCCAGAACCCUGCAUUUUAAUAGUAACUAAUUAAUGGCAUCAUAGUUCAAAGACAAAAACGUUUUAAUCAGUUAUAUUUACAAUGGUAUACAAUUUUAUUAAAGUGACAGGGGUGGGUCCCUGUUUUACUAGGUUUUUUUCUAUCAAUUGCAAUGCAUUCCCAGAAAAAGACAAAAACAGCUAUAAAUGCUUUUAACUCAAAACAUGAGAUUGUUCAUUUAUGAGUAGGAUAUAAAUAGACUCUUCAAUAUUAUUUGAUAUCCCUACUUGGCUAUCUUUUACCAAAGCAUUAAUAUUUUGAAAGCACUGAGUUUUUUUUUAUUAUUUGUCUUUUAAAACAUAUAUGCUAAAUGCAAUCAUUAUCAUCGGUAUGCACAAUAAGCAUGUUGUAGUUUAGUACGUGGUUGUCGUUGGUUCAUGUCUGUCAUAUUUGUUCUUCGUAAACUGUUUUGUUAUAAAUUAGGCAAUUAGUUUUCUCAGUUGAAUUGUUUCAUAUUUUUCUAAUGUCGGUGCCUUUUAUAUUAUGUGGUUUCUCAUUGUUGAAGGCCGUACAAUUGCCUAUAAUUGCUUAAGUUACAUCCACUUAAUUUGAAUCUUGGUGGAUAGUUGUCUAUUUGGCAAUCAUACCACAUUUCCUAAUUUUCAUAUGUUAGUUCCUUGUUACAGAGAAACACAUUCGUAUUCGAGCAUUCUUUGAAUAACGUUAAAACUCAUAACAAUUUUUGAGUUCUUUUGAGUUUUGUUGUCCAUAUUUAUAACAGUAGAUAUUUUUUUAUCAAGUAUCUCUACACUCAAAUAGUGGUCUAUAAUAACAGUCCAAUUGUAAAAGUUGAAUUAUUACCUAAAGUGCCAUGUCUCGGUUUUAAUUAGAGCUUACACAUUAAGCAAUACAUGACAAUGCUGGUGUGGUGAUUCAUUUUGGGUUCUUCUCUUGAUAUUGAACCACCGCAGUUUGAUUCAUAAAACAAUAAGAAUAAUCAUUCCACAAUACUACGCUUCGAAACCUAUAAUUACACAUCGGUAUGCAAGUGUUCACCAAAAAAUAUUAUUCGCUAUACUGAAAUCACUACCUUAACACCAAUACAUAAAUCAGCUGUCAAAACCUUACAUUCGUACUUGAAUCUUGCAACAUUUUGCAAAAUGAUAACCUGUUAAUUAGUGUUCUUUUUUUUCUAUAUGAGGAUAUGGAUGGGGUUAACAUAUUAACAGAAAAGUGAAUUGUUGACAAAACGGACAAAAUAAAGUGAAACAAAUUAAAAAAAUAUAUAUAUAUAUAAGAUAGGCCAAAAAAUGAAGAAUCGAAAAUGGGGUUCUAUGAUAUAAAUAAAUUGGGAAUAGUGAGCAAAAGUAAGUUUUAUUUUAAAAAAUACAGAAUUAAAGGACUCCCACACAGACCCUCAUAGGGUAUAUUUUAAAUUAUUGCGAUUGUUUAUACACGCCUACUAUUUCACUAUGAACAAAAAUAAUGACUGUUUGUAACAUUUGCCAAUAUUUUUUCAAGGAAGCACUGCAUACUCGCAGUUAAGAAUUUAUUUUAAGCAAGAAGAAUAGGUAAGAUACUAAUUGUGUUGAGCAUAAUAUCGUUUCUAAUCAAAAAUUGUAAACGUACGUCAUAAGUUUAUACCACGCUGUGUUCAUCAAAGAUCGUAUUACGUUCUAUAGCAAUUUAAUGAUAAAACCACUUUUUACUUAUAUAAUAGAAAAAACGUAAUUAUAACCUAUGCAACAUUCUCUUGUAAAACAAUAAAACAUUCGAAGUUGUAGUUCUCUUAAUUUAAAAGACCCCGAAGCACGGUAAGUCACUGACGACACACGAAAAGAGAUUUGUUAUUGUUUUUGGGUUUUUUUCUCACAACUAAGUUUAUUCAAAUUCUUCCAUCAUUAGGUUACCUUGCGGGGAUGUUUGUCAAAAGUAUACAGAGAAAUCAAACCAUAUGCAAUAAUUACAUUGGCAAAGAUAGAUUUUUAAAAGUUGUUUAUUUCUGUGUCAUUUUGGUCUCUUGUGGAGAGUUGUCUUAUUUGCAAUCAUACCACAUCUUCUUUUUUAUAUGAUAUGAGAUGCAUGAAAAGAUCAAUGCACAAACCAAGAUUUAGCUGCCAUAAUUGUAAAGACAAUAUGAUUCAAAUUCGUUCAGGGACGCAAUUUUACUUUUUAUAUUUGAAUUUUUGAAUUUUCCAUACUCGUAAAAAUAUACAGUAUAAAAUUCAUUUGGAUAUUAAUUUGAUUUUCGUUAUCUAUUAUUUUAUUAUUUGUUUAUGCAUAUUAACCCAGCCAUUUAAUUGACUUACAAUUUCAAUAUUUGCACAUAUCUCUUAAAAUUUUACUGUCUGAUAUUCAUAAAGAUUAUUCAUAUCUAAUAUGUGUUUGUCUUUUGAUAUCGAUAUUACAGUAAACAUUCUAUGUGAAAGUGAAUAUAUAUAUUUUUUUUUUAAUUCCUUCAGAUAUUCCCCUUAACUUUCAAUGUUCUACUCAUGCAUUUAUCUAUGCAUGGACCAAUAUAUCCUCAUUUUCAAUUGUCAUUCUAAAUUUCUCGCCCAUCUUUCCAACCGAAUCUUUAUCACAGGACAAACCUUUUGUAUCUAUUGUUAAUUUGUUCUCUUCCUGAACAUGGAUGCCAGUGUGUAUGCCACUGCACAAUAAUCAAAUAACAACCUAUUAAUCGAAUACGUCAAAACAAAACAAAAAAAAGCAAGCAUAAUCCCUAAUCUUCCUACCUUAACACAUAAAUACAUUUUCGUAAUUAGAUGUAGCGUAUGUAGAGCCAAGAUUCUCUACUUGUGAUAGUAUUUGUUAUCAAAAAUACAUCAUUACUAUUUCGUACCGUUUUGUUCACAUGGCAUCAAAAUAGAUACACCACACUACUGUUAAAUACUAAAGGUUGCUGUUGUUUUAGUUUAUUUUUGCUAGGAUGAUGUCAACACUUGCGCUUUAAGAUUAUAAUGAUCGAAACUAGACUUAUUGUCCACAUGCAGUUGCUUAUUAACUAGAGAAUUGAUAUCUUAAAGUUGAAAUCCUAGUUAAAGUUGAAGUGUAGAUUGAAGACCUGAUUUCCUUAAUUACAGGAUUGUUGUAUGAUAGUGAAAUCGUUACUGGCGUAAUGCAUGUAAGACUAUCUUUUUGAAAUGAAGUCGUAGUGUAAAAAAUAAUAAUAAUAAAUUUAAAAAAACAAACGCUUAGGAAAAUUGAAAACGCAGUUUUUUUUAUCAAAUGGAAAAAAUAAAUUGCAAAACACAUCAAACGAAUGAAAAACAACUUUCAUAUUCUUGACUUGGUAUAGGCAUUUACUUGUGUAUAAAAUGGUGGAUAAAACCUGGUUUCAUAGCUAGCUUAACCUGUCUAUUGUAUGACAGUCGCAUGGAAUUCCUUAAUAUUGACAAAAAAAUCUGAGAAAUAGCUUUCUGUUCUGUAUGAGCCAACACUCCGUGUUGACCUAUAAGGGUUUACUUUUAUAAAUUGUUACUGGAGAUUUGUCUCAUUGGCACUCAUAAUCUUAAAUCAAUCCUAAUUCUAUCUUAUUCAUUCAAAUGUGACGUCAUUUUUCAUUUUUUGAUGAUCUGUUUUACAAAUUCAAAUGUGUCGUCAUUUUUUUGUCAUUUUUUACAAUUUCAUAUAUGACGUCACUUUGCGUUGAGGUUUUAACUUAUUCGGAUGUGUCUAUUUUUUGUGUUGCAUUUUGUCGAGUUAUGAAAAGUAUUUCGGUUAUUUCCUGUAAUUAGUUAAUACUUCAGUUUUAUCAUGUAUAUCUUUUGUAUAGUCAUUUUAUAAAAUUUACUGUUUGCAAAAGUAUAAAUUAUUCUAAUAAUAGGGAUGUUCUGGUACCUAACAGAAAACCCUGGCCGUUUAUGGCACAUCUUUUUGAUCUUUUGCUGUUCAACUUUGUACUUGUUUCGGCUUUCAAACUUUUGUAUCUGGGCGUCACUAGUAAGUCUUGUGUGGACAAAAUGCACUUCUGGCGUAUCAAAAUUUUUAACUUGUUGCCUUUUGUUAGCUAUUAUUCGUGUGCUUCUUUGUCAAUUGCGUUCUCCUUUUCAUUCAUAUUGUAGUUCUGUAAUGUUGUGAUGUCAUUUUAAUUAAUAUAUUUCACAUGGUCACAUUUUAAUGUUGUGUUUCCGUUGUGACGUUUGUUUUCUCUUAUUAUUGAGUGUGGAUUCACAUUACUAUAAGACGUGUCACGGUACUUAUCUAUCCCAAAUUCAUGUAUUUGGUUUUGGUGUUAUAUUUGUUAUUCUCAUAGGAUUUUGUCUAAUGUUUAGUCCGUUUCUGUGUGUGUUACAUUUUAAUGUUGUGUCGUUGUUCUCCUCUUAUAUUUAAUGCGUUUCCCUUAGUUUUAGUUUGUUUCCCCGAUUUUGUUUUUGUCCAUGGAUUCAUUUUUUUGAACAGCGGUAUACUACUGUUGCCUUUAUAUACCACCGUCUUCAUAUAUAUAUAAACACAAAUAAAAAAUGCAUAAUAAAGAAUAAAUUACCUUAACUUUAGUUAGCUUAAUCUUCUGAAUUUGGAUCUGCCAUUCUUUGUAACUUUGACUUCAUUUGGCCUUUAAAUAGUUAUCAAAGGUACCAGAAUUACAAUUUAGUACGCCAGACGCGCGUUUCGUCUAUAUAAGACUCAUCAGUGACGCUCAUAUCAAAAUAUUUAUAAAGCCAAACAAAUACUGUAGUUAAAGAGCAUUGAGGAUCCAAAAUUCCAAAAAGUUGUGCCAAAUACGGCUAAGGUAAUCUAUGCCUGGGAUAAAAAAAAAAUCCUAAUUUUUUCGAAAAAUUCAAAGUUUUGUAAACAGGAAAGGAGUAGGGGCUUUAAGGCCUGGUUUUGGCCCAAGAAAAUAAAAGAUGUAAUAAAUGUUUCAAAUUGGCACAUAAUGUUUUGAAAUGCAUAUGGUAAAGAAAUAUCAAUGAAAAUCAUCAAGAUUUUUAUCUGAUGACGUCACAAUUACGUCAUAAUAUGUACUGUUUUCACAAAAACAAUGAAAAUACAGAAUUUAUGCAGUUUUCUAUCUUUAUUUCGGUUGUGGAAACAUCGUGCGCAGCCAAGAAACAACAAAAUAAUUUAACAGAAUCCUUAUAACUAUUGACAUUAUCUCACCAAAUAUAAAGUUGUUUCUUGGGUGCGCACAUACUUUUUCAAUCUAAAAUAUACUUAAAACUUGAUGAAAAAACAAGGAAAAUCAAGAAAUUUUACAUAUAUGCAAAUUAAGUCAUGAUUUGUUGCCAUGGUAACUUGUUCAGUGUCAAAUUUGUUUUUGUUUUUCUGAAAAGCUUGUACCUUAAUCAAGUUUUCAAUAAUUUAAGAGUAUGUAUGAUAACUUCUAAAUUAGCAGUAAUUUUUGGGCCAAAUAAGGGCCUUAUUGCUCCUACUCCUUUAUAAAAAUGACCACAUUAUUGAUAUUCAUGUCAACACCGAAGAGUUACUACAGGGCUGCUGAUACCCUCGGGGACGAAACGUCCACCAGCAGUGGCAUCGACCCAGUUGUGUAAUAUGUUGUCAAAGGUACCAGGAUUAUAAUUUAGUACGCACAAGAUUUUGAUUCGAGCGACAGUGAUGAUUUUUUUGCAGACGCUGUGCGCCCAUUGCCUAGCCACAACAUGCACAUAUUUUAUUCGACUAUAUAUUUAAACUGGAAUAGUAUUUGCUAUGUUAUUCAUUGUUUAUACUACAAUGUAUAUAAACAGUACCUUUAUAACUUAUUAUGCCCAUUUCAUGUAGGAAUAUAUCAUUGUUUUCGAGUCGUUUCGUUGAUUGAUAUAUUAUUAGUACAUUUGCUUAGCAACACAAAAGUAGAUGGUUAGAUUUUUGUCCUUAAACUGUGAGCAGCUGAAAUUUUGAUAAUUUGUAAGCAAAGAUUUUGAGUUCAAUAUAGCGAAUCUGUUACUUAUUAAAAUACUUAUAUUAGAAAACAACUCCCAAUUCGUUAUCAAUGUGAAUGUUACAUAUAAUUGGUAAUGAAAUAAGAAAUAUAUACAAUUUAUUCAGAAUGUCUUACGAGAUUGGAAGUUUUAUAUUAUAUGUGAUUAAAUAGUAGCUUAAUGGUCAGUUUAUUGAACAGAAAACAGUUCGUUUUAUGUCGGAAAACUAUAUGAUUGUAUUGAAAGGCUAACUGUUAUUCAACUAAUUAAAUGGAUAUUCUCGUAAAAUCACUAUUAAACCAAUACUUUUUAUGGUAAUUUCCUUCCACACAACAGACAAUUUCAAUAUUUGAUUAUCUAGCAAGAAAAUGCCGUCUAAAGUUUUUUUAGGAAUCGUUAAAAAUGUCAAACAAACGAUUGGAAAUGUUUGUAUUCUUGUCUUUCAUUUUUGCUUAUGUGCUUUGUCUAUAUACUUUUUGCUUAUGUGCUUUGUCUAUAUACUUUUUGCUUAUGUGCUUUGUCUAUAUACUUUUUGUGCUCCUUUGUUACAUUCUUGUUUGUUUUUGUAGUGAUUAAGAUUAUCACACAGUGUUGAACGCUGUACCCCCUAUUUGUGAAAUUUUACUUAUAAUGUUUGUUUUGUUUUCACAUUGAUGUCAAUAUGAUGGAAUUGUAUGUAACUGUCAUACGAGUGAGAGGUUUAACUAGCUAUAAAACCAGGUUUAAUCCGCCAUUUUUUACAUAAGAAAACAGUUGUUAUCAAUUCAUUUGCUGUGUUUGAGCUUUUGAUUUUGCCAUUUUUAAGGACUUCCGUUUUGAAUUUUCCUCGGAGUUCAGUAUUUUUGUGUUUUUACUUUUUAUAAAUGUACAUUAUGACGUCUUUUAAUGUAAUUGAAUAUCAUGCUUUUUCAUGCUUCAUCCUAAAAAGGGGUAAAUUCCUGAAACAAUUGAACACUGUACAUUAUCUCUAAAACGGAGAUAAAUAUCACGCAGCGAAAAAGUACUGCUUUUAUCCAUUAACUGCAUCCAUAUUGGUGUAAUCUUUGUUACUGCUUUGUCAGGCGGUACGACAACAAACUUGAUUCGUGUGUAGUUUUUGUAUUUCAGUUUAAGUUUUGGUUUUAUGGAGGUGUCUCGUACAAGUGUAUGUCUUAAUGUUAAAAUACAAUACUCAAUUAUAUUUUCAAACUUUUUCUAAGGAAACUAAUGUUUUUUUUCUAUUAACAUUGCGUGUNNNNNNNNNNNNNNNNNNNNNNNNNNNNNNNNNNNNNNNNNNNNNNNNNNNNNNNNNNNNNNNNNNNNNNNNNNNNNNNNNNNNNNNNNNNNNNNNNNNNNNNNNNNNNNNNNNNNNNNNNNNNNNNNNNNNNNNNNNNNNNNNNNNNNNNNNNNNNNNNNNNNNNNNNNNNNNNNNNNNNNNNNNNNNNNNNNNNNNNNNNNNNNNNNNNNNNNNNNNNNNNNNNNNNNNNNNNNNNNNNNNNNNNNNNNNNNNNNNNNNNNNNNNNNNNNNNNNNNNNNNNNNNNNNNNNNNNNNNNNNNNNNNNNNNNNNNNNNNNNNNNNNNNNNNNNNNNNNNNNNNNNNNNNNNNNNNNNNNNNNNNNNNNNNNNNNNNNNNNNNNNNNNNNNNNNNNNNNNNNNNNNNNNNNNNNNNNNNNNNNNNNNNNNNNNNNNNNNNNNNNNNNNNNNNNNNNNNNNNNNNNNNNNNNNNNNNNNNNNNNNNNNNNNNNNNNNNNNNNNNNNNNNNNNNNNNNNNNNNNNNNNNNNNNNNNNNNNNNNNNNNNNNNNNNNNNNNNNNNNNNNNNNNNNNNNNNNNNNNNNNNNNNNNNNNNNNNNNNNNNNNNNNNNNNNNNNNNNNNNNNNNNNNNNNNNNNNNNNNNNNNNNNNNNNNNNNNNNNNNNNNNNNNNNNNNNNNNNNNNNNNNNNNNNNNNNNNNNNNNNNNNNNNNNNNNNNNNNNNNNNNNNNNNNNNNNNNNNNNNNNNNNNNNNNNNNNNNNNNNNNNNNNNNNNNNNNNNNNNNNNNNNNNNNNNNNNNNNNNNNNNNNNNNNNNNNNNNNNNNNNNNNNNNNNNNNNNNNNNNNNNNNNNNNNNNNNNNNNNNNNNNNNNNNNNNNNNNNNNNNNNNNNNNNNNNNNNNNNNNNNNNNNNNNNNNNNNNNNNNNNNNNNNNNNNNNNNNNNNNNNNNNNNNNNNNNNNNNNNNNNNNNNNNNNNNNNNNNNNNNNNNNNNNNNNNNNNNNNNNAACCCCGAUCAAAUGUCUGACCACGUUAUUCCUAUUGAACCAUCAGUAGUUUGUUAAUACAUCUAUUUUAGUCGGUAUUGGGGAAAAGUAAUGAAGAAAAUAAAUAUGUACUAGUUGUAAUUGACUUUGAACUUCAUUUGAGUAAUUAUUAGAACUCUGAAAGAUUUUUUUAUGUCUUUUGUCUCAAUGUUACUUAUUUCUAUUUCUUGUGUGGGUGUGUGCGUCGUGCUGAUUUAUAAUUCACGCCAUUUUCAACAGAUGUUCACAGUUUUCUCUUUAGUUGUGUUUUUACAGCAAUGUCUGAGGAUUGAUCGUUCACAAACACGUUAUAACCUAUCGUAUUGUAUAUGUGCCUGUCCCUAGCCAUACACCUGUAAAUCAGUGUCGUUAGUUGCUGUCAUAUUUGUUUUUCGUUUAUGGUUUAGUCAUAAAUCAGGGUGUUGGUGGUUUUUUUCUCGAUUUUAAUGGUGUUACAUUUUUACAUGUCUGGACCUUUCAUAGCUGAUUAUGCUGUAUGGAUAUUACUCCAACAUAUGUCAAAGGCUGUUGACCUAUAGCAGUUUAAACUUUCAUCCUUGGUUCUUUGGUGGACAGUUGUCUCAUUUGAAAGCAUACCGCACCUUCUUAAUUCUAUACACUUAAAAGAGGACCACUAAAACAAAACAAGAAAAGACCUCAGCGCUAUUAAAAUAGAAGGAAAAAAAAUAUAUUCUAAUAAAACAAAAUCACAAUAAUUGAAAUCAAUGUAAUAGAUCAUUUAAAUAUUCUGAUAUGAAACAUACAAUUCUACACUCCAUAAUCAGCAGCUGUACUUCACUACAGAUUUCAUACCACAACUUAUGUUUUGUCGUAAAUCAGGAUAUUGGUUUUUCCGUCUCAAUGAUUUCAUAUUUUGUCAUGUUUGGGUCUUUUAUAACCGUCUGCUAGUAUAAAGUAUGGGUUUGCUCAUGGUUGAAGGCCGUACGGUGAAAAAUAUUUUCUUAAAUCCGCUUCAUUUUGGAAUCUUUUGGAAAAUUAUCUCAUUUCAUUUCAUUGAUUCUCGUUUUUUUUGUAUAGAUGAUAACAGUUUGUAACAAUGGUAUACUAGUAGUAUAAAACUAUCUGUACAAUAUGCCACAUCAAAUUGAUUUCAUAAGGGUCUUGCCGAGUGUCUUUAGAAUGUAAUCGCUUUUCAAUAUUCAAAUUUCAAUAAUUUAACAUCUGACAAUUGUGUGAUCUUAAUUUUUCCCUUAUAACAAAAAAUAUACAAAUGUCAGUAAUAUGAAUAACUGUCCUAGAACAUACGUACUGCGUUACUUUAAAAGUAAAUUGGCAUAAUUUCACUAAAGAGUCUUCUGUUCAAUUUAUUUUAGAUGUAGUGAUGUUACAUUACCACUUAGCGAUGGUGUAAUUUAAAUUUAUCACUUUCUUGGUAAAAUCGAAAUAUAUGUUUGAACAACACUGUUUCAUGAGACUCGUUCUUAACAAUCGUUUAUUGUAUCGUACCGGCUACCGAUAAAAAAAACUGUUUGAAGAUCGAAGGAGAUAUAUUUAUUGUUGAUAAUUUACUGAAUGUUCUGACAAUCUAAAUAAUGAUGUAAUUGACGCAUUACUACACUGCCAUUAAUCAUCUACCUCGAGCGUACUGUGAAGUUUAGAGAUUAACGCUAUGAGCAUCAGCGAUUAUGGCUGCCUUUGUCUAGAAACUGCUGGAAUUGGGGAUUUUUCCUUCAGAUACCUGCUGAUAUGCUAUUGGUAUUUGUUUUCAAAGCCAUAUCUCCUUAACAACUUGUAAUAACAUCAUUCAUUUAACAAACAAAAGUGUCUAGUUGUCAAGAAAUUCAAUAGACUUUACAAAAUAAAAAGGCUGUGUUUCUUAUACAUUCAAAUGACAAAUAUUUACUCUAUAGAUUUGUUUGAAGCGUCAUCAAGAGAUAGAUACAUACUUAUAUUACAUGAAGAGUAAAUAAACUUAAAACUACUUAAAAACAAUAUUUUGAAACAAGCAGAUACUCUAGUGAGUUAUAUUGCUUUUGUAGUACUGAUACUGCAUGUUGAACUGAAUUUUUAUUAGAUUGUCGAUCUUUGAAAUUUAUCAAGUGUUUUUUAAAGAUCUAGUGUAAUUGUGUGUAAGAUAUUAUUAAUUGAUAGUCUUCCUGUACUUAUAUUAGUGCGUGCACUGUCAUGCACAUGUUCAAGGUGAUAAGGAGAGGUCCUGGAUCUAAAAAAAAACAUAAAUAUAAACCCAGAGCAUGUUAAAAUAUUUGUCCCAACUGUUUCUCAAUCAUUUGUUCAGUUUUUGUUCUGUGUUUUCCAUAAUUUGAAUAAGAUAUUUUGUCAAUUUUUUGUUUAUGUUUGAAAUAUUGUACAGAUAUUUUCUAUAUUGUUCAGAACUUUUGAGUUGACCCUUAUACAUCUUUUGGUCAUUUUAACGUAUCCCCUUCAAUAAUUAUAUCGCCAUUAUACAUAGAAUAACACAAAGUCUUCCUGUACUACUGUGGAUUCAUUAUUUUUCGUUGGAUACCAAUUUUCGUGGAUUUCGUGGGUACAGAAUAAACCCCAAAAAUGUUCAACGAAUUCGAAAUUUUCUAUAGGCUUGUAUUCAGAUUUUGGCUAAACCACAAAAUUAAAUAACCACGAAAAUGUAAAAUUUUCUCAAUCCACAAAAUUUGGGGCCCACGAAAAUUAACGAAUCCACAAUAUGAAUGAAGUUGUUGUAUGAAAUCUACUGAGAAGUUCAGUGUUGAUUAAAGACUGUAGGAAAGCAUUGCUUAGUAUUGGAAGAUAUUUUCCUAUGCUAUGUUCCUUGUCAGUUUGUCUAUUUGUCUGUUCGUCAGUUUAUUUUUUAUUUAUGAGUUUGAAUGUCCCUCUGGUAUCUUUUGAUCCUUUUGUAGUUCUUUCACCUUGCUUUCAGUAACUACGAUCAUGCUUUGGUACAUAAAUAUGUCUGGGUCUACCCAAAGAUCGACGUCUGUAAAAUGCAGCUCAAUGUGUCGGUGUAUAGUACAUAGCAGAGUUCAAAAUUCAUAUCAUAAUUACAUGUUCUCGUCCUGAAUAUUCCUUCAAUUUGCAACUGGAUUUUAAUCAGUCAUUUCAUCAUCAUAGUCACCCUGUUGGUUGUUAAUUGCAAUGUCUCAAAACAAUGAUUUCGUACGGAAUGUUGUAAAAAAUAAUAGCAGACCUUAUCAAAAUUUUAUACCGAUUAUAUGCUUCGUUUUAUCUUUAAUUUUCAAUUAUAAAUAUGUUGAUAUAUUUUUUUUGUUUAUCAUGUGUUGUUACCUAUACAACUGCUAUAGUUCCCGGAGUCAAUAUACAAAUCAUUGCUUCUCCAUCGCUAGUAAAUAUAGAUCCGUUAUCACCCUUGUUAUAUUGUAUCAUGCAUUGAAGUAGAAACUUAUCGCUCAAGGCAGACGACAUUUUCCAACUGUGAUUGGAAGUGAAACGCUAAAGAACGCGAUCUCUUGUCAAUUAGAGCUGUUUGUCUUUAGCGUAAACUUCCGAUUUUCAGUUUCUGAUGUGAAAGACAAAUAAAUCACUAUUUAUUAAUUUUUUGUGGAAAAAUAAUUGAUAAACAAAUUACUUUAUUAAAUAUUCGUUAUCGGUUGUUUGUCAGAAAACUGUGUCAAAAACGAAAUCUAUUUCACAAAUUAGCAUUUGGAUAGCUACGAAGAUAAAUGGUAAAGCUAUUAGAUAGCAAAAAUAACUUCCUUGAUCUGAAAUGUAACAAACAUUUCAUGGUGGGCACUAAUAAUUCGCAUCAUAAAUUGGGUAAAUUAUGAGCUUGAUGAUAGAAGUAAGACAAGAAAACAACAGUGCGAGAAAAUAGUGAGAAGUGCAUUGUGUGUAACAUUUUACAAAGUAUUACAAUAAGAAAUAUUACAAUAUUGUUAUCAUAGAAAUUCAAACAGAUUUUUAAAGAAUUUGACAAGCUUUUUGAAUAUGUCAGUUACGCAUUAGGAAUUUGAAGAAUGUUUGCACUAUGUAUCGAUUGUGAUAAAGGCAAAUUUCAAAUUUGUUUUCCUCAUUUGUCUGCUUAAAAUUCUUUUUUCUCUGGCCACAGUUAUACUUUUCUAGCACACAACGAUUGAAAGUUGACAAAAAAGAGAAGUCGAUUUUCAUCAAACGCAAUUGCUUACAUCAUUAUAUAUAAAAGGUAUAAAUGUAUAUAAAGUGUGUUUUGCUCGUUCCUUUUUUUUUAUUAAUCUUUUUUCUAUGUAUUUUACAGAAACACCUUCUGGUGGAGUAAUGUCAUGAAGGGGAAAUUUAUAUCGUCUGUAGUUACACCACUACUAUGGACGAUACUAUCAACUGUUUCAACAACUCUGAGUACCAGUCCAAUUAUACAAACCAACAAGGGAUUAGUUCGAGGCAAACGGCUCACUUUACAUCACGGCAAACACGUAGAUGCAUUCUAUGGAAUUCCCUAUGCAAAACCACCAGUCGGUGAGCUUCGUUUUCGCCAUCCAUUACCGGCCGAUGAAUGGCCUGACGUGUUCGAUGCUACUCAUCUCCCUAAAUCAUGCAUUUAUUUAAACGAUUCUAUGUUUAAGAAUUUUAAAGGAGCUCAGAUGUGGAAUCCGAAUACUCCAGUCGACGAAGAUUGCUUAUAUCUAAAUGUAUGGGUACCUCGGUCAAAUCCUCCAUUUCAAAAUAAAGCUGUAAUGAUAUGGAUUUAUGGUGGUUCUUUCAGUUUCGGAUCAUCAGCCUUAGAUGUAUAUAAUGCAAAAUAUUUAGCUGCCGAAAACGACAUUAUUGUUGUAUCUAUGCAAUAUCGUCUAGGUUCUCUGGGAUUUUUAUCGUUUGGCGAUUCAGAAGCUCCUGGGAAUGCGGGAUUAUUUGAUCAGUUAGCAGCUAUUGAAUGGGUCCAAACAAAUAUACAUAAUUUUGGAGGUAAUAGUCAUAAUGUUACAUUAUUUGGAGAAAGUGUUGGUUCUGCGUCAGUCGGAAUACAUAUGCUUUCACCUCUCAGUAGAGGCAAGUUUCAGAGAGCAAUUUUACAAAGUGGAGCACCUCAAGCAACUUGGGCUACCGUUACUAAAAAGGAAGCUUUCCGCCGAUCAACAGAACUGGCAAAAGCUUUCAAUUGUUCCCAAAAAGAUGUGAAGAUGACGCUGAAAUGUUUGCGAGAAAAAGAAGGUUCACAAUUUCCAUUGAAAGAUUUUUCUCCUACAAUAGCUUAUGGCAUUAAUCAGUUUCCAUUCGUAGCUGUAAUAGAUGGUGUUUUAAUUCCUGAAUCACCAAAAAUGGCAUUUAAUAAUCUUCAUUUCAAGAAAACACCAAUACUCAUUGGGACAAACAUAAAUGAAGGGAAUUAUUUCCUUGUGUAUGAUAACCCAGAUUAUUUUCCUCUUAACUUUUCAGAUAGUUUAAACUUAAGCAGGUCUCAGUUUCUCGACUGUGUUCGUCACUUUUUCAAGUACUAUCCACAAUAUCCAAAAAAGCUUAAUUCUUUUGGGGAAGAGGCAAUAAAAUUUCAAUAUACACCGUGGAAAAAUCCUUAUGACCAAAAGUUGAAUGCAUUAUCGGUAGAUCAAGCAUUUGGCGAUAUGAAUUUUGUGUGCCCAACUAUAGAUUUUGCUGACCGAUAUGCGUUAGCAGGUGUUCCAGUCUAUCAAUAUCGUUUUGAACAUAGAUCAACAGCACAUUUUUGGCCAAAGUGGAUGGGAGUUUUACAUGGAGAUGAAAUAAACUUUGUUUUUGGAGAACCUUUGGAUCCAACAAAAAAUUACACUCACAUUGAGAAGAAGUUUAGCAAAAAGUUAAUGAAAUAUUGGACAAAUUUUGCCAAAACUGGGUAGGUAUAGAAUAUUAUAUAAUUAGCAUAAAGUAACAUAAUGAUGUAUCUCUUAGUUGUAACUCAAACAAAGUGAAAGCUUUUGAGAGAAAAUUGAGAAAUAUUGUUUUGAUCGUGCAUCACAAGUCAUUUUUCCGUAGAAGUUGAAAAGUAUUUGUUGCAAAACAAGGGCGAGAGAGACAUUCAAAAUCAUAGAUCGAAAAUAAACAAACUAUCAAACAGACAAAUAAUAGUACACAGGCACACAAUAGAAAACUAAAGACGAAGCAUAACGAACCUCACCAAACAUUUCAAGUAUUUAAAUAGACAUUAUUGCCUCUUACUUCAGUCAAUGGUCAAUAUUAGAAGGUUGUUUAAAAUUGAUGAUAAUGCCCGUAAAACAAUAUCAAAAUUUCAACAUAUUUCUAACGAUUCGAAAUGUUAUUCCGUACUACAUAUUGCUGUUGAAGACAAUAUUGCCAAUUUUACUUCUUUUAGUAAAAUAUUUAAUCGAAGGACAUCAUGUAUGAAAAUGAAUUGAUAAGAAUCGGAAUUAAUUUAUCGAAUAAUUUUCAAUAAAAAUAUUCCUUCCAAUAUACAUUACAAUGCAUAAUUGAAUGCAAGGGAUGUUUACUUAGCGUACUAUAACCCCAAACAAAACCUAACAAAAUAGCCAAACAUGUCAAAGGAUUGAUUUUUAUACAUUUUUUAUAGAUUUAUCAAAUUUACUUUACUGAACUUAUAGGAAACACAUUCCGGCAGAAAAGAAAUAUACAAUAAUCCAUAUAUAUAGUUCUAAGUGCCAUUCUAACAAAAAAAUCAGACAGUGGUAAAAACAUGACACACGAAACCCCCUCAAGCUUAUAUUAAUUUAAGUUCGUUUCCAUUUCCUUUUUGAUAUUUCAAAAUAUAAUUUGGUUGAAACGCACUAAAAUUUAACAUUCUCACCAAAAGUUGAUCUAAAUAUAACCAGACACACAGAAACGAAAGGCCUCCCAUUUCGGGAUGAGAUUAUCUUUAAAUUAUAAUAGUUAGAUCGGCGUUUGGGUGUGUUUUUUUUUUGUCAUUUUGUCUUCAAUUUUUCUAAAUUCUGGCUGAUUCUUAUAAAGACCGGUGACUGACAUUGCCAUAGCAAAACAAAGGAAAACGAUCAAAAGACAAAUAAUAGCACACAAAACACAACAUAGAAACUUAUAUGAACCUCAUCAAAAACCAAGGAUGAUCGUAGAUGCUUCGGAAGGGUAAGCAGAUCCUGUCCCAUAGGUGGUAGCCGUUGUGUUGCUCAUUUAAAUGUAUAUACAUAUACCAUUUUAACACUAAACUUUAUGACAAACGCAAUGAUCCGGAUUCGAGAUAGUGUUGUUUUGUUUUAUCUUUGCUGCAAUUUUCCUGCUUUUCUAUGUUUGUAUAUGUAUAGUAUACUUUUGAAUACUUUUUAACUGCUUUAAAGUUGCCAUCCCGAUGAAAACAGGAAAGAGCUCAUGUGCUCUAUUGUGUGUUCUGUACACUGUUGUUUGUCUGUUGGUAUAUAUUAGAAAUCAUUCAACAGAUUAAAGGUUAAAGGUGAAGGAAAAAUAAAUUUGUCCAAUCGAAUUGCGUAAGAUUAAAAAACAAUGACCAGUACAUAUCACAAAAAGUGGUAGGGGUGAUUUAUGUAAGGUGUAAAGGCAGAUUUUCUUGUUAUCACGACCAAAUGAUAAUAAACCAAACUUUUUGCUAGUAAUUCAAAAAACCUAUAUCUCUGUAUUGAUAUAGUUUUCCAAUUUGUCAGCGAUUCAAAGUUUGGACUCCAAAACUCAUCAAAAUUAUGGACAGCAAAUUCGUUUUAUUGGAUCGUAGUCCUUUGACAAAAAAACACACAAACAUAGCACAAAUUUCUAUAAACGCUGCAAAUAUCCUAUGAAAACGAAUGAUGUUUCAGACUCUAUUCAAGUCAAAACUUUGCAUAAUCAGUUAAAAUAAAGCACCGUCUAGUUUCUAGUACUGAAACACUUACAAUGAUAUUUGAUGAAUAUCAAAAGGUAGUUGUGUAAGAUGUUUACUGUCCAUGAAUUUCUUGUAGAGAUCCAAACAAAGAGCAGGUUGACGGUGAAAUAAUGAUGUUAGAUGAAUGGCCAGUUUAUACGAUAGAAGAACGUAAAUACCUCAGACUUACUACGAACAUUGUGCAUGACCAUGAACAAAGGAAUACAAUAGGAAUUGGACCUAAAAUUCAAGACUGUGCGUUCUGGAAUGAAUACUUGCCAAAUUUAGUUAAGGAAACAGGUAAGUCUUAUACAAAAUAAAACAAUUUACAUACACAAUUUGUUAAGUAGAUAAUUUGAAAUAUGUGUUUUAAAGGACUACAUGUGUACAGAAUUUAUGAUAAUUUUUAUUAAUUGCAAAACGAAUUGAACACCAUAACAAUCAUAAAAAUCAAAUAAAAAGUAGCUUCCAUUUGAACAACUGACAACACAAAAAAUGUGACUAUAUCAAAGAAUCGUUAAUUUUAAGGUAAAUUAAUAUGAAGCUAUGUAGCUUUUUAUUACCCAAAUAUAUGUUCUGGAAACAUCUCGAAAACUUAAAUUUCUGUAUUCUAGCGUAAUGAUUAUUUGCCAUGAGAGUUUUGAGAUAUUCUAUAUUAAAACUAAAAAAUGAUCUAUAAAAUAUUGAAUUGUUCGAAACACUUAGGCUUUCUCUCCAAUAAAGACGUCUCAAGUUGUUUUGGCAAAAAAAUGGGGGGAUUUUUGGCUUUCAAUUGAUUUGCUACUGAUAAUCGCAUGCAAAACGUAUGUCCGACGUAUAUAUUUGAAAGCGUGGUAUCUGAGAUGAGUUUCAUUAUAUAAAUUACCACAUUUGUAAGAACUGAUAUAAAUUAAGAUAUAUUUUCAAAUCAGUUAUGAUUAUGAUUAUAUGUCAAAGUUUGAAAAAAAAAAAUACCAUUAUGAAAUUUUACACAAAAUUUCUUCUUGGUUUUUUUUCAAAAUUAAACAAAUCGUAAUUGAUCUCUUGAAAUCGUCUGCUUUGCUUCAUUUUCACCAGGAAGGAUAAAAAUCAAACUUGGGUUAUGAAUGCCAAAACCUUUUAAACGUUUCUUUUACUUUUCCUUUUUCUUGUGCUUAUCUAAGUCGGUGCAUUUUUUCAUCUCUAAUUUAUAUUUUUUUUCAAUUUUAGUAAAGCAAUUUUUAUUAUUGAAACUUGUAUAGAAUUGGAUUUUAUAUGAAAGGUAUCCUGUUUUUCUUUCACUUGGCAUUUUUCUAUGAAAAUUUUUAUUUUGCUUUGUUCCAUUCUUCCAUAUUUAUAACCUCUCCUCUUUUUUUUCUGAUGCAGGAUGACUCCUUUUUCGAUAUAAUGCUUAAAAAAUAAGAGAAUGUUUGACAUCCUAUUUUAUUAUAGAUAUCUUUAUAGUUUAAAGUUAUCACGUACCAGGAUUAUAAUUUAAUACGCCAGACGCGCGUUUCGUCUAAGACUCAUCAGUGACGCUCAUAUCAAAAUAGUUAUUAAGCCAAACAAAUACAAAGUUGCAUUGUGAAUCGUUCGAGCUCAAUGAAUAUGUCACCAUGAUAAAGUCCUAUGUUCUAUAUUAGUAUAUUGCUAGUGACAAUUAGUAUAUUGCUAGUGACAAUUAGUAUAUUGCUAGUGACAAUUAGUAUAUUGCUAGUGACAAAAGCCAUGUUUUUUUUCACGAACAUGCUUUUUGUAGCCUGUAAAUGAAGAGUGAUUGUGAUUGUGAUAAAUAUAUGUACUAACUUGGACUCGAUGUCGCAUUACUAGUGUACUAAUUUCUUUCUUAAAAAAAUGUUUUGUUUGUAUUUCUGUUUUAACGUAAUAUUCAAUAUCUAUUAUCAUUUGACUCAAUAACUUGAAUGUGCAUCAGAAUGAAAAACAUAUCAGUCGGUGCAGUUUUUUGUGUUCAAAUAUGUUUCGUUAUUGUUGCUGAUGUUUUGGGGAAAAAUAUGAGAAUGAAUAUGAAUAUACAAUAUAUUUCUAUCAAAGAAAUUAAAUAUUUGUCAUGACAUUAUAAUGAAUAAGCGACGUAUGUGAAAGUAAAAAGUGUAUGUAAAAUCCUAAUAAAAACUGGUACUAAGCAUCACAUAGCUUGGAUGAAAUUUUGUAAAGCAAAUCAAUUUCGUAACAUUGUGUUUACUGUCGAUAUUAAGGUAUUGUUAACUGUAUUAUUGCACAGUCUUGAAAAUAACUUUCUGAUUUGUGAUUCGCUCUGUUGUUUCCACAAUGUGCUAAUUGCGGUUUUUUUAACGACCAAAAUCGAAUAUUUCGUUGUUUCAACUGCAGUUUUCUUUGUACUACCGUAGAUGCGUGUAACCUGAGAAACAAAAUUACGCAAACCAUUUGUAAAAGCUUUGCAUGUUGAACUAACAUUUCCAGGUAGGUGAAUGUAUCUUGUUAUUAGCUUUAGCUUAAUUAGUCAAACAUAUUGAAGGUUACGUGGUACAGUUACAAAACCAGCUGCAAAAUUGUUAGAAGAGUAAAAAUUAAGGGUCAUUAGUUAUAAUUUCAAUCCAUCAUCGGAAUGAAUAAGAAGUUUUGAUGAACUAUUAUGCAAAUAUUUCUUUUUCUCUCUGAAAUGCACCACGCAACCUUGAAUACAGUAGUUAUUAUUGACCAGUGCUUGUUAAUGUUCUAAUAUCAAGUAUUAAAUCAUGCUAUGUCUUUACUUGCUUGGUAUGAUAUUGCAGUUUGCUUCAUUUAGAUUCAUUCAUGACCCGUAUAAAGACUAAUUAUCCAAAAUUCAGAACAAUAACUUCCAUUUAUCUGAUAUUUUAUAUUAGAUUGAAUGUAACUUGUUCAGUAACACAGAACCAUUUUCGUUUAGAAAUCUAGUUAACAACUAUCAUACUGGAGUAAAUUGUUUUCUUUAUCUCCAGCUUACUUGGUCAGCACUUCCGUGUUGAUGUGAAUUAUCACUGAUCCGAUCAUUUCAUGUAAAUGUACUGUUCAUAAAAUGUUAAAAAAAAAUAUAAUCGAGAAAAUGUACAAAUUGCACUAGAAGAUAUACUAGUACCAACUUGUGUAUAUUAACGUUUUUUAAGGUAACCCAAAACAAAUCGUAUUCCAUAUGAUCCCAAAAACUGUAAAGAUGUAUUGGCAGAUAAUGUGCGCAUUAUUGCUAAUCACAGCGCCAACAAGGAGCAGAACAAUCAACAUUAAUUUCAUACUUAUGAUUACAAGUGAUUCAAUACAUUUUAACGGAUCUCAAUUGUGUAAAUAUAACAAAAAUUACACUACAGAAAAUGUUUGGAGUUCUGAAGAUCUACCCAGCACCUAAAUUAUUAAAGUAGUGAUCUUUGUCUGAUCAGAAGUGUGCCUACAUUACUUAUGAUGUUUAUAUGUUAUACUAAUAUUGCUUCGCUUCUCUAGAAUUAAGCUAUUCCAUUAGAACAACAUGAUUACUGUCACUUGAACAUCUCAGUCAUGGUUAUAUUUAGCCGAAACAAAAAUUAUCAUAAUUUGCGCACUUCAACACGUAUUGAUCUAGUAUGAGAAACACAAUUGAUGUGAAAAAAUUAAAAAAACUAAAUUACCGAGGAAAAUUCAAAACGGAAAGUCCCUAUUAAAAUGGCAAACAUAUUUCCAAAGGAGAUUCAGUACUAACACAAAAAAGUAAACAACUGUAAAGUAAAAAUGUAAUCCAAAAUCAUGCAAGUGAGAGGUUUAGCUAGCUAUAAAACCAGGCUUAAUCCACCAUUUUCUACAUUAGAAAAUACCUGUACCAAGUCAGGAAUCUGACAGGUGUUAUCAAUUCGUUUGAUAUGUUUGAGCUUUUGAUUUUGCCAUUUGAUUAGGGACUUUCCAUUUUGAAUUUUCCUCGGAGUUCAGUAUUUUUGUGAUUUCACUUUUUGUUGUAUUUUACAAAUUUAUUUGAUAAAUCAAAUCAAAUGUUGUUAUAACAGUGAUAUUGUUUUUUUUUAAUUACAGCGGAUACGUCAGAGGUGGAGAAAGAAUGGAAAGUAAAGUUUGCUGAUUGGUCAGACCAUUUUGAUAACUUCUUAUUGGCAUAUGAACAUCGUCUUCAGUCCUGUAAUAAUGUACCAUAAACAGGUUUUUAAAGUAACCCUUGUGAGAUAUCUCUCAUGACUGCAUAUUUAUUUAUAUAAACUAUGUCACGUUGCACCCUCUAUUGAAUUCACUUAUUAUUUGUCGUUGAAACAUAAAUUGCAUUUCAUACAAAAAAUAUAUUUAUCUACUAUUAAAAGUGCUUACAAAUAUGAAGUACAGAUAAUGUACAUCCAUUAUGUUAUAUUUCUUUUUUGUGAAGUUCGAAUUAACAUUUUUAAUUAGAACCUUAUUUUUACAAUAAUUGAUUAUUUAAAAAUAUAGUUUAAUAUCUUUUAAAAGAACUAAAUGAUACUUAUAAAGUACUCUUUGUAGGUAAUUGUCUUCUUCAAUAAGGAUUCUCUUUUCCCUUUGAUCUCACGGGUGCUGUAGCAUAUGAUUAUGAGUGCACUGAAUAUAAACUAUACUAUUUGCACGAAAUCACUUGCAUUAACGACAUUAAAAAAUACCGGUAGCUAAUGAUUUAUUUGUCGUUGUUUUCUUUUUUAUCGUAAUAGUAUUGUAUCAGUGAAUUUUGUGAACAUUAUUAAACACAAUUUCAUAGUAACUGUUAAAAUAAGUUCCAGUUUCCUUAUACAACAAAGCAGAGGCAAUAACAUAGUUAUGGAAUCAUGCAGGGAAAACUUAUUGUAAUAUUAUUCUUAAAAAUAAUAUUUAUGUAUCAAUAUCAUAUUCAAAUGAAAACAAAUAUCGUUUAUUUUUUAUUUAUUUCUUUGCAAUAUAAUAUGUUAGUGUUAUUUGGUAGCUAUUGUUCUAUAAAUUUGUAUGUUUAAUAUGUUUCUUCAUUUCUUUUUACAUGUAUAUGUCUACCAUAUAUCUAAACGAUACAAUCGUCCCAUUUACCUACAUCUGUUCCCCCGUUAUUUUGAUAGCGUUCGAUUUUUUUCAGUUUUUAUGAACUUCCCAUUGAGUUCGGUAUUUUUCUUAUAUAGAAAUAAGAUGUGGUAUGAGUACCAAUGAGACAACUCUCCAACUAAGUCGCAAUGUGUAAAAAUUAAACAAUUAUUGGUCACAGUACGGUCUUUUAUACAUUUUUUAACCUUUCAACAC